AAUCAACGCUGGCGGCGUGCCUCAGACAUGCAAGUCGAACGAUUAAAGCUCUCUUCGGAGAGUGUAUAGAGUGGCGCACGGGUGAGUAACACGUAAGUAAUCUACCCUCGAGUGGGAAUAACAACCGGAAACGGUUGCUAAUACCGCAUAAUGCAGCGGCACCGCAAGGUGACAGUUGUUAAAGAUUUAUCGCUUGAGGAGGAGCUUGCGGCAGAUUAGCUAGUUGGUAGGGUAACGGCUUACCAAGGCUACGAUCUGUAACCGGUCUAAGAGGACGGUCGGUCACACUGACACUGAAUAACGGGUCAGACUCCUACGGGAGGCAGCAGUCGGGAAUUUUGGGCAAUGGGCGAAAGCCUGACCCAGCAACGCCGCGUGAAGGAUGAAGUAUUUCGGUAUGUAAACUUCGAAAGAAUAGGAAGAAGUUAAUGACGGUACUAUUUAUAAGGUCCGGCUAACACGUGCCAGCAGCCGCGGUAAU
rnacentral:rRNA from 1 species